UGGGAAGCAGACGCAAAGUGUCCAUCUCCUCUGCAUAGUGUCCAUCUUCUCCAUCCUUGGUGGGAACAGAAGGUGAUUUGCUAACAUUUAUGAAGAAAACUCUUGACUGACUACCUGUAAUUUACAUCUUUGGAAGAACAUCGUUCUCUGACCCCUAGAAGUCAGGAUUUUGUAGCAGUGUGCUACCUAAAGGAAUCUAAGGGAUCAGACACUGUAGAUUCUCUGACAUUCCUUCUCUGGUGCCUGUCCCGCUUUCUCUUCCAGUGGUUUUAGGUCACAAAACACCAUGAGCACAAAUCAGCUAAAGCGCCGUGGAGAAGCAGAUGAUUCUGGUCAAACUCAGAAACGGAGCAGGCUGAUGGCUCCUAGGAGAGCUGGAG